AACAUGACACAGACAGAGCCGGUGCAGUCAGAAUUGUGCGAAACGUUCGGCCACGUUGGAGGAAAGGAAAUCAUUAUGAACACCUUCUGGAUAUCACAAGUGACAAGCAGCAACAAAGGUUAUCAACGACAGAAGGGAGUGGUGCGAGCGGUAAUCGUGUGAUGCUCCCUGGCAGCGAACGACACAUUGUGAUCUCACGAGUGUUGAGAGACCCGGCGGUAGCUGGUGCGGCGAAAAAAUGUCAUGCUGCCGUGGCUGUAAAUGCAGUUUUUUCUGGCAGAAGACGGGAGUGCGAACGGUGCUGAGACGUAGUUUUGACCUGGGAAUUGAAACAACGCUGACCUGUGCGCGGAAAAGAGAAAAGAAAAAUUAAAAAAGGAAGAACUGGCACGUUGUGACGCUACCAGGUGCAUCACCUUGUGUGGCCUUCGGACGUGCGUUCGUACGGACCUUUGUGUUGAGUAAACUGGUCAGCCAUCCCUGAUUUCUGUGUGUGCCUUUUAUUGCUUAUUUAUUUUGUUACGUUCUGUGAACUUUUCCUUAUUUCGUGCUUGAAGCUGUUCGUCUUGAAAUACAUGCUCAUACAAUAACUAGAUUAAAAAUGUUCACAACGACGAGUAUCAAAUCAAAGCAGGUAAUGAAAAAGAACAAUGCCAACUUACCUCAAAAAUUAUUUUUCAAAGGAGAUAAAGGUAGGCUUCUCUUAAAGACAGGCUGCAGCAAUGCAAAGUGUUAGGGCCCACUUUGCUAGAAGUACGACAAUGAGCACGCAGACUGUAAUAAUCAGAAUUGUUAUUUGAUAAAAUUAGGAAAUGAUUGGGAGGGAUACUCCUGAUGCCAUUUACGAUAGUACCAAAAUAAUAUUAUUGUAGUCAAAAAUUGCUUUCGAAUGUUUCAGCAAAGGUAGAGCUAUAGCUUUAAAAAUAUAUAUAGAAAACUUUGGCCAGUUUUGAACUAUUUUCGCGUCAGGAUGUGUGUUUUUAUCCUAUUGCGGCUGUCUCACACUGGAUUACCUCGGAUGUGCUUCUUGGUAUUGAAUGCUCAUCCUGUCUUUGUAUGUGUGUGUGAGUGUGUGUGGUCAGUUUUAGAAGUUGUUUAUUCUAAUAAACUCACAGACUGCAAAGGAUUUAUUGAGUGUCCGUGGAUUCAGUGUUAUCAGUUUCCGUGCCCUCACACGAUGUGCAGUUUUCAUGUAUAUUCACUUUUUUUGCUAAAUUAUGCAGAAAGCAAUCAAAUCAACCCUCCCGUCGUCAAUGAAUUUGAUGAAUGGUUCUUCGGGGAUAGUGAAGAGUUGUUUUCGGUAGUCUCGCUUUCUUCGUUUGUCGUGCAUCGUUUUGCAGCAUUAUGGGCUUCAUUUUGAUGUGCCGUGCUUCAAAGUUGAGUGCUGUUUAUUUCAUGGGAUCUGUCUUAUUGUGUUUUGCUUUUGGUGACAUUUUGCAUAUUUGUUUGUUCUGAUCUCUAUAAGCUGGCAAAUUAUUGAGACAUGACAGCUUAUUUUGAAUAAAUCAAAGAAUAGAAACUCAA